rnacentral:rRNA from 1 species
CCGGCCCAGAAAUUCGAUUGAGUUUGUUCGGCUCAGAUGAACGCUGGCGGCAGGCCUAACACAUGCAAGUCGAACGGUAACAGAACUAGCUUGCUAGUUGCUGACGAGUGGCGGACGGGUGAGUAAUACUUANGGAUCUGCCUCUGUGUGGGGGAUAACUAUUGGAAACGAUAGCUAAUACCGCAUAACGUCUACGGACCAAAGAGGGCUUCGGCUCUCGCGGCAGAGAGGAACCUAAGCGAAGAUUAGCUUGUUGGUGAGGUAAAGGCUCACCAAGGCGACGAUCUCUAGCUGUUCUGAGAGGAAGAUCAGCCACACUGGAACUGAGACACGGUCCAGACUCCUACGGGAGGCAGCAGUGGGGAAUAUUGCACAAUGGGGGCAACCCUGAUGCAGCCAUGCCGCGUGUGUGAAGAAGGCCUUCGGGUUGUAAAGCACUUUCAGUUGUGAGGAAAGGUUAGUAGUUAAUACCUGCUAGCUGUGACGUUAACAACAGAAGAAGCACCGGCUAACUCCGUGCCAGCAGCCGCGGUAAUACGGAGGGUGCGAGCGUUAAUUCGGAAUUACUGGGCGUAAAGCGCACGCAGGCGGUCUGUUAAGCUAGAUGUGAAAGCCCCGCGCUAAUCGUGGGAGGGUCAUUUAGAACUGGCAGACUAGAGUCUUGGAGAGGGGAGUGGAAUUCCAGGUGUAGCGGUGAAAUGCGUAGAGAUCUGGAGGAACAUCAAUGGCGAAGGCAACUCCCUGGCCAAAGACUGACGCUCAUGUGCGAAAGUGUGGGUAGCGAACAGGAUUAGAUACCCUGGUAGUCCACACCGUAAACGCUGUCUACUAGCUGUUUGUGGAUUUAAUCCGUGAGUAGCGAAGCUAACGCGAUAAGUAGACCGCCUGGGGAGUACGGCCGCAAGGUUAAAACUCAAAUGAAUUGACGGGGGCCCGCACAAGCGGUGGAGCAUGUGGUUUAAUUCGAUGCAACGCGAAGAACCUUACCUACUCUUGACAUACUAGAAACUUUUCAGAGAUGAAUUGGUGCCUUCGGGAAUCUAGAUACAGGUGCUGCAUGGCUGUCGUCAGCUCGUGUCGUGAGAUGUUGGGUUAAGUCCCGCAACGAGCGCAACCCUUGUCCUUAGUUACCAGCAUUAAGUUGGGUACUUUAAGGAGACUGCCGGUGACAAACCGGAGGAAGAR